rnacentral:tRNA from 1 species
AAGUUUGAAACAAAGGAUUGUAUUCAGUUUCGGCCUGAAAAUUUAGUUUAUCAUAAACUCUAACUUU